rnacentral:lncRNA from 1 species
CUACAUUGGUAAAAUUGCUACAGCAUUUUUAAAGCAUCAAUUUGAGGAGGGAGAGCCUCUUUUCAGCGCAGUGUUAUUAGCUUUAUUUACGUUCUUACUCGGGGCUUCUUUUCAGAGCCAAGCUGUGGAUCCGGAGCAGUUCUCGAGUCAGGAGUCCAGCAUGAUGCUGGAGCAGAAGCCCCCUGUUUUCCCACAGCAGUACGCAUCUCAGACACAAAUGGCCCAGGGGAGCUAUAAUCCCAUGCAAGAUCCAAACUUCCACACCAUGGGACAGCGGCCAAAUUAUACCACACUCCGAAUGCAGCCCCGGCCGGGCCUCAGGCCCACAGGCAUUGUGCAGAACCAGCCAAACCAACUGAGACUUCAGCUCCAACAUCGCCUCCAAGCACAGCAGAACCGCCAGCCGCUAAUGAACCA